CCCAGGGAGCGCCCAAACCAAAAAAGAGUGAACCGGCAGCCGCACCCCGCGCGCGGCCGGUGAAU
rfam:Trabulsiella guamensis ATCC 49490 GTGT.assembly.048, whole genome shotgun sequence.